AUUGAACGCUGGCGGCAGGCUUAACACAUGCAAGUCGAACGAGAGGCGGACGGGCGAGUAAUGUCUGGGCAACUGCCUGAUGGAGGGGGAUAACUACUGGAAACGGUAGCUAAUACCGCAUACCAUCAGAUGUGGCCAGAUGGGAUGAGCGAGUAGGUGGGGUAAUGGCUCACGAAGGCGACGAUCCCUAGCUGGUCUGAGAGGAUGACCAGCCACACUGGAACUGAGACACGGUCCAGACUCCUACGGGAGGCAGCAGUGGGGAAUAUUGCACAAGGGGCGCAAGCCUGAUGCAGCCAUGCCGCGUGUGUGAAGAAGGCCUUCGGGUUGUAAAGCACUUUCAGCAAGGAGGCGUUACUCGAAGAGGAAGCACCGGCUAACUCCGUGCCAGCAGCCGCGGUAAUAG
rnacentral:rRNA from 1 species